GGGGGCGUACUUGGCUUCGACGUGGGUCAUGAAACCUGAGGGGCAUGCCGAGGGGCAGAAUACCUCGUAAAUCCAUCUGCAAAAUCAUAGUUGCCAACGAAGACAACUACGCACUCGCCGCCUAAAACCCGGUAGGGUGCCGUCUGACCGGGCUGUGCUUGUGCAACCGGACCCAGGCGUCGACUCACACAAGCUCGCGAUGAAACAUGUCCGGGGUGGAUUUGCUAAAACUUAACUGGACUCGCUGAUGGUUUUCCCUGCCGGUCGGGUAGCCACCAGUUAAACUAAUAGAGUCGGCUACGCAUGUAGAACCAAAGGCGGAGUACUCGCGGACGCCGGUUCGAUUCCGGCCGCCUCCACCA
rnacentral:tmRNA from 4 species